UACGUAGGGCGCAAGCGUUAUCCGGAAUUAUUGGGCGUAAAGAGCUCGUAGGCGGUUUGUCGCGUCUGCCGUGAAAGUCCGGGGCUCAACUCCGGAUCUGCGGUGGGUACGGGCAGACUAGAGUGAUGUAGGGGAGACUGGAAUUCCUGGUGUAGCGGUGAAAUGCGGCAGAUAUCAGGAGGAACACCGAUGGCGAAGGCAGGUCUCUGGGCAUUAACUGACGCUGAGGAGCGGAAAGCAUGGGGAGCGAACAGG
rnacentral:rRNA from 1 species